GGAGUGUAGCCCAGUGGUACAGCACAUGCUUAGCAUGUGACAGGUCUUGGGUUCAAGUCCCAGCACCA
rnacentral:tRNA from 1 species